rnacentral:rRNA from 1 species
AGUAACGCGUGAGGAACCUGCCUCAAAGAAGGGGACAACAGUUGGAAACGACUGCUAAUACCGCAUAGCCCACGGCUCGGCAUCGAGCAGAGGGAAAAGGAGCAAUCCGCUUUGAGAUGGCCUCGCGUCCGAUUAGCUAGUUGGUGAGGUAAUGGCCCACCAAGGCGACGAUCGGUAGCCGGACUGAGAGGUUGAACGGCCACAUUGGGACUGAGACACGGCCCAG